rnacentral:rRNA from 1 species
UACGUAGGUGGCAAGCGUUAUCCGGAUUUAUUGGGUGUAAAGGGCGUGUAGGCGGGAGCGCAAGUCAGAUGUGAAAACUCAGGGCUCAACCCUGAGCCUGCAUUUGAAACUGUGUUUCUUGAGUGCUGGAGAGGCAAUCAGAAUUCCUAGUGUAGCGGUGAAAUGCGUAGAUAUUAGGAGGAACACCAGUGGCGAAGGCGGCUUACUGGACGAUGACUGACGCUGAGGCUCGAAAGCGUGGGGAGCAAACAGG